rnacentral:misc_RNA from 1 species
ACCGAAUCCUGUUGCAUUGGACACCAUGAGCAAAUAACAAAUGAAUUUCGUUAAAUGCUCGUAAGAAGGAAAAGUAUUUUUUCACAGGAAAAGUAUAAACUAAGAUCUCAAACAUGAGGAGUUAGUUCAAAUUUUCAGUCAACCAGCAACUGAAGAGACCUGAGGUGGAUAAUUCGACAAACGUCACACAUGCACUCAGAGCUUGAAAAGCGCAAGAACCCAGAAGCCAGAAUGCAAUGAUUGCACUUCAACUACAGAUCUGUUCCGUUUUGAACUGAAAUUUACACGCAGGAAACUAAGUUCGUGAAACUACGAAGCAGACACCUAAUUUAAGAAACAGCAUCUUGAUCCGAGAAAACCAAGGUAAGUGAACCCAUUCAGAACCAAAAUCAAGCACAAUUACACAAUAGAAACAGUUAAAACUCAAGUCAAACAUCAAAUCGACCAAUCGUAAACAGCAAAGGGAAACCCAAUUCACCGCAGAAGAAAUUCAAAAGCCAAAAUGGAGGAAAUAAUCAGAAGAAGAGAAGCAAAAUGACAUGGUGACGACCUCGAAUUUAGAAAGGGAAGUGG